rnacentral:tRNA from 1 species
GCUCCAUUAGCAUAGUGGUUAGUGCAUCCGACUUUCUAUCGGAAGACAAGGGUUCGAUUCCCUUAUGGAGUA